GCCUGCCCGGUCUCUGCGGGCCGGGGUCUCUUUGUCCCAGCGAGUUGGGCUAUGAGUGUUACUCCGAUUUCGGCUCUCUCUGUCUCUCCCGGCGGGGUGGGCCCCUGACGGGUCUGAGGGGCCCGAGUAAGGCUGGAUGCCUUCGAGCUUUGCCCGCCCGGAGCUCCGCUGCUCCCGGCGGCCAGAACGCAGGGGUAGAGCAGCCCUCGGCGGCCCGGGUGGGGCGGGCGAUUGUGCUCGUCCCGGAGCUGCGCGAGGCACACACGCUGCUCGGAGCCGCUCGGAGGCUUCCCGGAGAGCAGGACCCGCGCGGUAACAAGUUUGUGCUUUGCUUCCCCAGGGCAAAGCCGCCGCUACUUUGUAGCGGGUUCGGGGCCCGACCCCGGCUGCGGCAGUAAGAGCGGGUCUCGGACCCACUCUGGGCCUGGGAAUUUGUCUCCGACGUCUGCGGUGCAGCGGCCUGAGUUCUAAGCGCAGAUGGCAGUGCUGGGGAUUGAACUCAAGAUCUCAUGCAUGACAGGUUGAGGCGGAAGACUGAAAUCUGCGAGGCAAUGCCGUGAAGGCUGCUGUGAGUGUGGCCUUUUGAAGCAAAGAUCAGAGGUGAGUCUCUUUCGCCCUCACACCUUUGAUGUGCUCCUGCCUGGACCGCACAUGUACACAGCAAACAAAACUGAGACAUUAGGUUAUUGUUUUUAUCAAGUGAGACAUUUUACAAGAGAAGGAUCAUUCGUAUCGGAUUUGCUGACAUUUCCGGUGUUCCAAAGAGAAAGACGGAUUGAAGUGAAGCAACUCUCUUCGGUGUCAAUUUUCAUGAGAAAAAACGAUGCCAUUUAUAAAGUGGCUUGACUAUUUGAAAGAAAUGGAUCACAGUGUCAAAGAAAGGCCUUGAUUUACUGUUGUCCUGAUGAUCUGCUUGCACGGAAGA